AGUCCCUGUUCUCAGUGGGAGAGACAGGCACUCAUGGAAUAAACAAUAACAGAUAAAUAAUGUGAUUAGACAGAUGCUAGAAGACAACAAAACAAAAGUGAUGUGGCAGACCAGUGGAGGCCAGCGACACAAGAAAAGGGAGGAUAUUCAGAGAUGUGAGAAGAUGGGGCUUGGAAACCAGCUGCUGAUCCUCAGAGCACGCCAGCGCACUGGCGUCCCCCAGACGACAUCCAGGUGAUGAGGAUCAAGACUCCCCAGGGAGAGAAGCCCAAGGCGUCCUGCCUACAUGGCAUCUAUGUCAUCCUCCAGGCAGUCUAGGAUGUCCUGACCUAAUCCGACCUGAUUUGUAUCCAAAGUUAUAGGACCAUCCGAUAACCAACCCCAGCUGCACAGAUACCAUUUCAACAACUUUUCUCACUUGACCUUUCCUUUGUCUUGUAAAGAAAUAACUCACAUGCCUAUGCCUUAUAAAUAAGCUCUACUCUCAACCCAUUGCAGCUCUUCAGGCCCACAGGUCCUGUCCCCAUGCCUGCAGGUCUCACUGCCCACGGGUCCUGUCCCCACACCUGCAGCUCUCACUGCCCACCACUCCUGUCCCCAUGCUAUUCUCUGAAUAAAGGAGCACUACUACCAGACCUUGAGAGUCCAAGAAAUUUUUCUUUUGACUCCCCACCUUGCAAAGCCCGCAUCACAGGGAGGGGUUGCCUGACCACCGUGCAGGCUGCUCUGCUCUGCUCUGCUUAUCGCCAAGGGAGGCCAGAUAUAGGGGCAUCCCACUCAGUCCCCGACAUCCAACACUGCUCAGGCCCAGCCGCCUCCAAGGAAAUGCCCCUCCCUCAGGGACGGGGACUCCC
rnacentral:lncRNA from 1 species